rfam:Triticum aestivum genome assembly, contig: Triticum_aestivum_CS42_TGACv1_scaffold_131137_2BL
AUAUUACUCCCUCCGUCUCAAAAAUUUUGUCUUAAAUUUGUUUAGAUAUGGAUGUAUCAAGUCACGUUUUAGUAUUAGAUACAAUCCGUAUCUAGACAAAUCUAAGACAAGAAUUUUAGGACGGAGAGAGUAUUUA